AACCAAGUAAUAGAAGAUGGAGAAGGAACCAUAGGAGGAAAGGGCUGGAGACCAAAUAAUAGAAGAUGGAGAAGAAAGCAUAGGAGGAAAGGUUGGACAUCAAAAAAUAGAAGAUGGAGAAGAAGUCCUAGGAGGAAAGGUUGGAGAUCAUAAUAGAUGGGGAAGAAGUCAUAGGAGGAAAGGUUGGAGACCAAAUAAUAGGAGAUGGAGAAGAAAGCGUAGGAGGAAAGGUUGGAGAUCAUAAUAGAUGGAAAAGUAAACAUAGGAGGAAAGGUUGGAGAUCAAAUAGUAGGUCCUUCCCAAUUCUACAAUUCAUCCUUCCAUCUAGUCCUCGACUUGUGAACGGAGCAUGCACAGAGUAUUCCAUAUUUAGAUAGGAGAUAGAUGAGCAUCUUUUCUGCCAAAUGGGAGUCAGACUAGAUGACCUCUGGGGUUCCCUUCCAAUUUUAUAAUUCACCCUUCCAUCCGAUCCUACAAACCAUGCAAAAGUCUAUGUUGGCUUCGAAAUACUCUUGGAAAGGAAUCAAUCGAUUUGUUUUGGUUGGAAGAGAUCCAAAUAUCCGAAGGAAUUUCCAAAAGCACACGGCGCCCGCCUUCCGAUACCUCUUUCCUUCCUGUUUGAUCGUGUCCUUUUUUUCCGUGUACAAGCCGGUCUUUGCAACGAAACGAGAAAAAUAAAAAUAAAGAAAUACAAACCGCAAAACGACCAACGACAUCCAAUCCAUCCGUAGUUCUGUCUGUAUGCAAAACAAGAAAAAAAAAACUGAGAAAAGAUAAAAAAAUAAUCAUAAUAUUCAAGCAAAACCUUGUGCUGUGGUGUAGUUUUUAGAUGUUUGUAAACAAUGGGGGAAAAAAACGACAAAUCAGGAAACGAGGGGGAAAAAACGCAUUCCGUUGUGGUCUCUGGUUCGUUCCAUUUUGUAUAAAAAAUAAGACAAAAAAUAAUAUAAAAUAAAAUAAAAUAAACCAGAAGCCAAGAAUGAGAUGACGGCACAGCUUUCCGUGUCGAGCCAAGUGUGUAUGUUGUGUGUCUGGAGUGGGGGGAAAGCAAGGUUUGUUGUGUGCACUUUUGGGUCAACGCAGGAAUGGAAAUGAAACCGAGUAAAAAAUGUUGUAUUAUGUCCGGCUUCGGCCAAACACCAGACUCUCGACUCCCUUCCGCCUCUGGUAUUAUGAACUCAUAGUCGAUACAAAUCAAUGUAAAAAUGGAGAUUAAAUAAAAAUCCAAUAAAAAGAGUUUGAAAAAAAAAUAAUAAAAUAUCGGAACCGUU